rnacentral:ncRNA from 1 species
CAGAGUAGGAUCAGGUGCGUUAAGUGCUGCAGGAUGGGAGUUGCCUGCAGACGAAAGCGGCCGGAUACCGGUUUGAUGACCGGCCGGGCUGCUGCGGUACCUCAUCCGCAUCCGCUGC